rnacentral:rRNA from 2 species
GAGUACGGCCAUACCACCAUGAAUGUGGCUGAUCUUGUCUGAUCUCGGAAGCUAAGCAGGGUCGGGCCUGGUUAGUACUUGGAUGGGAGGAAUACGUCUUAAAUUUU